UUGCUUCAAUCUUUGGCCCCGUUGUCCUGCCACAAUGUGUCCACAGGUCUGUCCCUUACCAGCCACUGGGGAGUGGACAGCAGCAUGAUUAACAGAAGUUUUGUUGAUAUGUCUCCUAACAUUCACACUUUAGGUCAUUUGCUGUUAACGUUUUAAUAAAGGGCAAGUUAUGACUUCAAGUUGUUCUCUCUUUAGCAACCUAUGAUUUUCCUUUCUUUUAUUCCUUCAUUUCCCCCCUCUUUCCCUGAGUCUUUCUUUUUUUCUUCCUUCCUUUCUUUUUCUUUUUUUUUCUUUUCUCCUUUUUUUUUUUUUUUUUUUUUUGAUGGAGGGCCAUGUCCCACCAUCCUGGCCUCAGUCUCCCCACCCACCUGUCUCAUCUUCCUCAGGUGUGUGUUACCACCAUUGAGUUGAAAUUUAUGAUUCUUUGCAAGAAAUAUUCAUUGUUCGGGUACAUUGAUCUGAAAGGUCUCAUUUAAAUCCAGAAGGUAUGUGUGUAUGACAGUGAAGAGAGGCCUCAGUGGUUAAGAACACUUGUCUGGUCUUCCAGAGAAACUGAGUUUCAUUCCUUGUAUCCCAACUGCCUUCAACUUCAGCUUCAGACGAUGCCCUGCCCUCUUCCUGUCUCUGCGAGGACUCCCAUUGCCAAAAAAUACAUGUCACCUCAAAGUGAAAGGAGAUAGAUACUUUACUAUGGAGACAAUUCCAGUGACUGUAGUCCACAAAUAUAGCUAGCUUACAUCAGAUUCUGUGCUCUAAGGUGGAAGACAUUUCAUGAAGCUUUUAUAAUAACGAAGAAAGUCAUGAGCAAGGACUUAAAAAAAAAGAAUAUAUUGGUAGACCCGAGGUUACUGUGAAUGUUAGAUAAUGUAUGUAUAAAUUCUGUAAAUAAAGGUAUUUUUUAAAAUUUAGUAUUGAAUUUUCCAUGAUAUACUAAAACUCAGAGUUGCAAGUUGGCUUGCUGGAUGGUCGUAAAUGUAGUUACACGCACUGACACACAGAUAAACACACACACACACACACACACCCACACACACACACACACACACACAUCUUGCAUCACUAAAAAUAAACUUUGAAUACACAGUGAAAAGAAAAUAUGUCAACAGAAGCAUCAGAAAGGUGGGCACAGUAGACAGAAGACCUCUCCAUGAUAAGCCUCAGACCCUGUUGAUAGAACUCUUAGCCUUGUCAUCAUUGGAAGGCAGACAACUGAGAAGUCACCACCACAUUCCAAAGAAUAAACAGUGCCUUGUUCAUACUAUUCUUGUUCAAGCUAUUAGGUCAGGUUCACUGGAGGCCAGUAAACAUCUAUUGAGAGGACUAAGGACUGAACAAGGUAGUUUGGCUCUAAACUUGCCACAUUCCAACUGUUAUGGGGAGACCACCAGAGACAACCACUCAGGCACAGUUAAUUGAAAGUCUUUAUUCCACAUGGCUGGGACGACACUCAGGUAUUGAGGGACCCACGUGUAGCCAGCCCCAAGUGUCCAGAGCACAAGGAAUUUGAAGGCAAGAACCGUAUCUUGCCUUCAAAUUCUUGGCAUCUCGCUUGGUAAGAAACAAGCAGUUUAAGAGAAGCUAAGGUAAGUUAGCUAGGGUGUCUUGGCCUCAGGUCUUAGAUCAGAGUUGGUUAAUUUUCCACAGGAUUCUCCAUCAAAGAAAUCAAAUUCUAGUUAAAUGUGAAAUGGCUUCAGCAAGAAUACAAGAUGGAGGAGCCUCUGCACCGUCUUGCCCCGCCAUCCGGUUCUCCACUGUCACUGAAGGUCUAAUCAGUUAAUGAGCCACUCAGCAGGUUCAGCUUAAAGAUGUGGCUUUUCUCUGGGAGCUUUUUCUAUGGUGUUCCCAAGCAUGGGGCAGACCCUCGGGCCCCCACCCCCACCCCCACAUGUACUAGCACUUACAAACAUACUCGCAAGUCACUCUUUCACACACAUAAAUAAAAUGAUAAAAUAAGUCCUUAUAGAAAUGUAUACAUGAUUAUAGGUAAUCAAAACAAAGUAAAAGAAAGCUAUUAGGAACAAAAGACUUGUUUUAAACCUGGCCACUACAGAUUUUAGCAGAACAGUUGGCCGAGUGACCACUCAAGGGUCACAAUAGAGGGGUUGCCGUGUGAAUGUGUAAGAGAUGAAUGUUGCAAGCUGGAAUACAUGUGUUUUUAAUCUGAGGAUGCCUAACCUUUUAAUUGUUCUAUUUGCUUCUUCAAGGUGGUGAAUCCCAAAAAGAAAGG
rnacentral:lncRNA from 1 species